GUCUCUUCCUCUUCCCUGGCCCAAGAUUUCCAUCUGCUUCAUCUCCCGGGGGUCUCUCUCCCUACCUCCCCUCCCUGGGAUCUAUGAAUGGAACAAGCUGCUUGUCAGAGGACAGCACCUCAGACCUCAGAACCUUGGCAGCCCUUCAUCCCAUGGACAAGUGCAACCCAGAUGUUUGGGGAGUCACAGCCCUCUAGGAGAAGCCUUUGACCAGCAGGGAUCAGAAACUGAGAGGUUUUAUAAAAGAGAGUGCAGAGCAGUAGGCAGUGGUAGAAGCUGAGUCGGGGUCUGAGUGCUCCAGUGCACUGACUGUCUGACAU
ensembl:lncRNA